GGGUCAGUAGGUUGGUCGUGCCACCGGUACGUACUGGUCUCACUGAUUCCUCCUUCCUGAAGAACCGUAAUGCCAUUAAUUUGGUGUUGCGGGGAAACAGGACUGUUACUUCGAAAAAAUUAGAGUGUUUAAGGCAAGCUAACGCUUGAAUACAUUAGCAUGGAAUAAUGAAAUAGGACGAUCGAUCCUAUUUUGUUGGUUUCUAGGAUUGACGUA
rnacentral:rRNA from 1 species